rnacentral:tRNA from 1 species
AUAGCGUAAUGGGCAAAGCCUCGGUUUGCUAAGCCGAAGGUCCCGGGUUCGAUUCCCGUU